rnacentral:lncRNA from 1 species
CCAUUUUAAACCCACUUUCUUCAUCUAAAAUAUUCAUAAUAUCCUCAAAACCCCAAAUAUUAGGCCUGAAUCUCCCCUCACUUAUUCAAUAAUAGAUCUCACCGUCUUCUUUCCCUCUUCAGGCAAGAAUACAGACCCCUUUCACCAUGGAUGAAUUUUGCUUCUCCAUUUUUGUGUAAUGGCUAUGUCAAUCACUUGAAGGACCAAGUCCAUCCAAGCUCACAACUCCCAACGUUUCAAAUUCAAAUGACUGAAAAAGAUCCUUCCCAAAAUCAAGAACCCUAGUUCUUCACCUAUAAAUACUCAAUUUUUUAGUCCAAAAAAAAUUCGGCCACAUAUCCCCUCAUAAAGCUCGCUGUAUAACUUCUGCUUGCAUCUCUCUGUCUCGGCCUUUGGAUUUUAGUCUUGGCGAAGAUUUUUGGCCGGCCAUACACGAUUUCAAUUCUAGGCUCUAAAAUGCCCUAGUUCACUGCUCCACGCAAGGUCAGUAGUUGUCCUCUUAGUUCAUUUUAGUUUCUCAUAUAUUUUGCUUCUACGUGUAUAGCAACAUUUGCUAAUUUCCCUUUUUCUUUUAGUAUUUUGAGCAUAGUAUUGGUAGUCAGGAUAUCUAUUGUCAAAUCUUGAUGCUUUAAAACGUUUCAAGUUGUCAUCUUGCUCUUUUGAUUCUAUUAGAAAUCAUGUGCUAUCACCUUUUUUGCAUUAUUUUUCUGUCGCAAUUACCACUUAGGUCCUAGACACGUGACAAAUCACUGCUUGCCUAGUUUCUAUUUAGUUAUUAAUAAAGCAAAUUUAAGAUGUUAUCCUUCAGUCAUGUAUUGUAUAUUUAUUCAGAAAGAAGCCUUAUUCUAUAUAUUUUAACAUCUUUAGUCCCACGUUAGAGAAUGCAAUUGGAUUUAAAAGUCUUUAUUUGUCUCACGACCAAUGUUUUAUUUCACGUCUGAACUAGUAGUAGGAUAAUGAACUAGGCACUUAAGUUUUUUUUUUUUAGUCAUAAUGUUUAACUGCUAGGAAGGACCAACGUUUUGAAAGUGAUAAAAUGCUCUCAUUUAUAGAUCAGGUGUCAUUUUUUUCACUUUUUGCAAAGAAUGGUAAGCUUGCAAUAGAAUCCAUGGUUAGGCAAUCUAAAGGCGAUGUUGAAACAUUGGUUGGGACUACAAAAAUAAAUCACAGCAUAGGACACUCACUUAUUUAAACUGUUUCACCAUUGUGAAUACUUGCUUCUGGGCAAUUCCUUACCAACCCGCAAAUUCUUAAACAUUAAUUGCAAGCCUUAAUAUACAAGAGCUUUAUACGUUUCGAUUUUGCUUGUUCUUUACCUGUUUGGAAUUUACUUUAAAUAUUUCAUUUGGUAAAGAUACUUGUCAAGUCUCUUGUGUUCUUUCCUCGUAAUGAUAAGGUAGCAAAUACUCUAAGUACCUCCUGGCUUUUUGUACGAAUUUGAAUUUUUUCCUUUUUCCUUUAUAUGUGCAUUUUGAAAUUCCAAUAUUUUCUUUCUCGUAUGAUUGCAAUAUAUAACUAUCUUCAUUACUUAUUCUUUAUUUUCUCCUUUCUUUACAUGUACGUUUUGGAGCAAAUGGAGUCUUAAUCCAAGACUCUAGCUAGUGAAGUCUCAAAAUGAGACGACCUUACCCCUAAUCCGAGCAAGGAGAUAUAUUCUAUACCCUCAAGUCAAAUUCGUUAGCAAUUUAAAGCCUCUUAUGUUCCUUCAAUCUCUAUUUUCUUUGUAUACAUAUGUCAUAUUGUCUUUCAUUACUUUCUUUGGAGCGGGUACAAUGUUGGCUAACCAAGUGGAAUAUUUUGUGACUCAGAUGACGUUGGCAUCGAAUUUCUUGAAGACUCCUUCCUUAACUUUCAAACUAAAAUUAGGCUUCAUCUUUCUCAGCUUUUACUUUAUGAGAGGACAAGAUGGAUCAUUUGGCAACCUAUGAGCAACAAUAUCUAUGCUUAGACCCAUCAUAUCAUCAUAGGACCAUGCAAACACAUAUACCAAUUAAUUCAUUCCUUUGGGAUGGAGUCAAAUGAACGCUAAUCCUUGUUUCUCUUAUGAAAUCUGAAUUCCUUAAG